rnacentral:rRNA from 1 species
UUGACAUACUAAGAACUUUCCAGAGAUGGGAUUGGUGCCUUCGGGAACUUAGAUACAGGUGCUGCAUGGCUGUCGUCAGCUCGUGUCGUGAGAUGUUGGGUUAAGUCCCGCAACGAGCGCAACCCUUUUCCUUAUUUGCCAGCGGGUCAUGCCGGGAACUUUAAGGAUACUGCCAGUGACAAACUGGAGGAAGGCGGGGACGACGUCAAGUCAUCAUGGCCCUUACGGCCAGGGCUACACACGUGCUACAAUGGUCGGUACAAAGGGUUGCUACCUCGCGAGAGGAUGCUAAUCUCAAAAAGCCGAUCGUAGUCCGGAUCGCAGUCUGCAACUCGACUGCGUGAAGUCGGAAUCGCUAGUAAUCGCGGAUCAGAAUGCCGCGGUGAAUACGUUCCCGGGCCUUGUACACACCGCCCGUCACACCAUGGGAGUUUGUUGCACCAGAAGUAGGUAGUCUAACCGCAAGGAGGACGCUUACCACGGUGUGGCCGAUGACUGGGGUGAAGUCGUAACAAGGUAAGCGUAGAUGA